rnacentral:rRNA from 1 species
UACGUAGGGGGCGAGCGUUAUCCGGAUUUACUGGGUGUAAAGAGCGCGUAGGCGGUUCCGUAAGUUGGUUGUGAAAGUUCGAGGCUCAACCUCGAAACUGCGUCCAAUACUGCGGGGCUGGAGUGCAAGAGAGGCAAGUGGAAUUUCAGGUGUAGUAGUGAAAUGCGUAGAUAUCUGAAGGAACACCAGUGGCGAAGGCGGCUUGCUAGCUUGUAACUGACGCUGAGGCGCGAAAGCUAGGGGAGCGAACGGG